GACGAACGCUGGCGGCGUGCUUAACACAUGCAAGUCGAACGGAAAGGCCCCUUUGGGGGUACUCGAGUGGCGAACGGGUGAGUAACACGUGAGUAACCUGCCCUUGACUUCGGGAUAACUUCAGGAAACUGGGGCUAAUACCGGAUAGGAAUCCUUGCUGCAUGGUGGGGGUUGGAAAGCUUCGGCGGUUUUGGAUGGACUCGCGGCUUAUCAGCUUGUUGGUGGGGUAGUGGCUUACCAAGGCUUUGACGGGUAGCCGGCCUGAGAGGGCGACCGGCCACACUGGGACUGAGAGACGGCCCAGACUCCUACGGGAGGCAGCAGGGGGGAAGAUUGCACAAUGGGCGGAAGCCUGAUGCAGCAACGCCGCGUGCGGGAUGACGGCCUUCGGGUUGUAAACCGCUUUCAGCAGGGGCGAAGCUUGUGGUGACGGUACCUGCAGAAGAAGCACCGGCUAACUACGUG
rnacentral:rRNA from 1 species